UGGGGAAUAUUGCACAAUGGGGGAAACCCUGAUGCAGCGACGCCGCGUGAACGAAGAAGGUAUUCGUAUCGUAAAGUUCUGUCCUAUGGGAAGAUAAUGACAGUACCAUAGAAGAAAGCUCCGGCUAAAUACGUGCCAGCAGCCGCGGUAAUACGUAUGGAGCGAGCGUUUGCCGGAAUUAUUGGGCGUAAAUGGUACGCAGGCGGUUUAAUAAGUCGAAUGUUAAAGAUCGGGGCUCAACCCCGCAAAGCAUUGGAAACUGAUAAACUUGAGGAGUGGAGAGGAAAGUGGAAUUCCUAGUGUAGUGGUGAAAUACGUAGAUAUUAGGAGGAAUACCAGUAGCGAAGGCGACUUUCUGGACACAAACUGACGCUGAGGUACGAAAGCGUGGGGAGCAAACAGG
rnacentral:rRNA from 1 species